AUCUUCGGAUGUGUAUAAAGUGGCGAACGGCUGAGUAACACGUGGGCAACCUGCCCUUUGCACUGGGAUAGCCUCGGGAAACCGAGGUUAAUACCGGAUACUCCAUAUUUGUCGCAUGGCGAAUAUGGGAAAGCUCCGGCGGCAAAGGAUGGGCCCGCGGCCUGUUAGCUAGUUGGUGGGGUAGUGGCCUACCAAGGCAAUGAUGGGUAGCCGGGUUGAGAGACCGACCGGCCAGAUUGGGACUGAGACACGGCCCAGACUCCUACGGGAGGCAGCAGUGGGGAAUCUUGCACAAUGGGCGAAAGCCUGAUGCAGCGACGCCGCGUGCGGGAUGAAGGCCUUCGGGUUGUAAACCGCUUUCAGCAGGGACGAGGCCGCAAGGUGACGGUACCUGCAGAAGAAGCCCCGGCUAACUACGUGCCAGCAGCCGCGGUAAUACGUAGGGGGCAAGCGUUAUCCGGAUUCAUUGGGCGUAAAGCGCGCGUAGGCGGUCUGUUAGGUCAGGAGUUAAAUCUGGGGGCUCAACCCCUAUCCGCUCCUGAUACCGGCAGGCUUGAGUCUGGUAGGGGAAGAUGGAAUUCCAAGUGUAGCGGUGAAAUGCGCAGAUAUUUGGAAGAACACCGGUGGCGAAGGCGGUCUUCUGGGCCAUGACUGACGCUGAGGCGCGAAAGCUAGGGGAGCGAACAGGAUUAGAUACCCUGGUAGUCCUAGCUGUAAACGAUGGACACUAGGUGUGGG
rnacentral:rRNA from 1 species